rnacentral:lncRNA from 1 species
AUGGAGUUUGAAUUUGUAGCUGUUCUAAAGAUUUUGUUAUUAGACAUUUUUUUUUUUUUUAUAUAUUCAAGGUGGCGGCCUCCACCCAAGGUCACAGGACAAUGGAACUUUGUUUGUUGUUGUAGACUUAAGCUGUGUAGGAAAUUUUGUGAUGCUUGCUUAAACAAAAGUUUUCCUUUCCCAUGUUGGUCAAUUCUACAACAGUGCAAACGUGUGAAAAUCACCAUUAAAAAAAAAUGGAUGUUAAAGCACAGGUCGUUUGGCCAUCCCAUAAUGACUUCCUUUGGAUAUCCUCAAGACGAUUUUGGGGACCUUGGAGACUCUAUCAGUCAGUCGCUGGCUGCUGCCUUCCUGCCACCGGCCUGUCACUGGACUGCUACCACACGACCUCAAAAAGUCCAAAAGUGCCCAGGCGGCUGCUGACUGAUGUCCAAAAAUGACCGCUCACUGUAAAAUUGUAACUUUUUCUUAAAAGCUCUGCAUCCACCAAGUGGCGUGUAAAAAUGUGACUGCCACUUCCUGUUAACAGAUGCCACUGUGCUGCCACCUGCCGACUUUGAUGUUAUGCAGAGGCAUUUUUAAGUCAUCAUACAUAGUCACAGGGGAGUUAAAUGGGACAUGUGUUCUAUUUUUAGGUUAAAAAAAUAGUGCUACAAAUGUGAAAUAUUUAUGCGCUUCCCAAACUACAAAAAUUUGACUCAGUUAUGAUCUUUGGGCCGAUGAUGCCAGUGACAAUGAAAAGGGAUUUAAUGAUCUAAUUUUUGUGGUGCUGUGGGAGCAUUAGAAGUAUUUUGUUUAACUUAAAUAUUUCAGAUUUGCCUCGAGAACGUCUCAGUGCUUUGGCAGUAAUCCGAAUUAACCAUGAGAUAAAUAAAAUCCAGAAAUCUGACUUGUUUUAACAAAAACGUUUACACAGACUGGAAACAGUUAUUGACUGUAUGAUGCUUUUUGUCUUUAGUAAUUCUUAUUCAAAGAUUUCCAACUUAAUUGUGAUUUAGAACUGAUGUAAAAUUCCUUAGAUGGGUAAAAAUAAAUCUGUGUGCAACCGGCAGGUCUGCCUGUGACAGGUGUAGGCCUGCUGAUUGGGGAUUUGGUACAGCUGUGUCUGUCCCUAUAUAAGAAACAGGGAGUGAGUGGACAGACAGUGGCUGCCUCUUUGCAUGGUGGUAUGUAUGGCUGAAGCUCCUCUUGUUGGGAGGACGUAGAUCACAUUUUACUCAUAUUCUACUCUUAACUAGAUGCUGUAAGCGGCUGGACGUGUUGCAGAUGUCAUGAGCCACUCCGUGUUCUGUACCCACCCUUUUAUACAUUUUAAUGUGCUUUUAGAGUGAUGUUGUAUGUAUUGUGUGGUUAACUCUGAUUUAUCUUAUUGUUUUGUUAGGUCUGAGUCGGGCGCCGGUGCGUGUGGUGUCGGUGAGGGGGCCCCUGGUGGCAGCGUCUUCCUCACUCCAGUUCCCUCACUGUAUUUGUUUAUUUCCCUUUUAGUGUGUAGUGGAAGUUUCGUUGGCAUGUUUUUUUUCCUUAUCUUGUGUGGGUUUGUUUUCAGCACGGAUUGGAGUGAGGUGCGCUGCCUCUUACUGGCUUAGUCCACGGCCUCUCUCUUUCCCUCCCCUCCUGCACGGGCGGUCGGCUCGGCCUUCCUGUUUUUAUUCCUUCAUCUCUUUUUUUUGCUUUAAUUGCUUUUAUGUGUCCAGCUAAUCAGAGUAAAACUACAACAGUAGAUUUUAAUUUUAAACUGUUAAUUAA